rnacentral:rRNA from 1 species
AACGAACGCUGGCGGCAUGCCUAACACAUGCAAGUCGAACGGGAUCCUAGCUUGCUAGGUGAGAGUGGCGGACGGGUGAGUAACACGUGGGAAUCUGCCUUUUGGUUCGGGAUAACCGCGGGAAACUGCGGCUAAUACCGAAUGCCCUCGAGAGAGGAAAGAUUUAUCGCCAGAAGAGGAGCCCGCGUCCGAUUAGGUAGUUGGUGGGGUAAAGGCCUACCAAGCCGACGAUCGGUAGCUGGUCUGAGAGGAUGAUCAGCCACACUGGGACUGAGAUACGGCCCAGACUCCUACGGAGGCAGCAGUGGGGAAUAUUGGACAAUGGGGGCAACCCGUGAUCCAGCAAUGCCGCGUGAGUGAUGAAGGCCUUAGGGUUGUAAAGCUUCUUUUGCCAGGAAGAUGAUGACUGUACCUGGAGAAUAAAGCCCCGGCUAACUCGUGCCAGCAGCCACGGUAAU